rnacentral:lncRNA from 1 species
UUGAUUCACUCAAUCGGCAGAUCAGCAACUUAUCCCAGACAAUAGAUAUUUUGGAGAAAAGAUAGUAUGGGACAGCUACAGAGGUUGAUCAGUUGAUUACAGAGGUUGCCAAGGUUGCUAGAAGGGCUAAGGAGAUUGUCAUUUCUCAAUAUGACAGCAUAGAGAUCAUCAUCACAGCUCUUUAGAGAGUUGAGACAUAGUUGGGUCAGCUUUGAUCUUAGAUAUCUCCUCCUACUCAGCCU